UACGUAGGGUGCGAGCGUUAAUCGGAAUUACUGGGCGUAAAGCGUGCGCAGGCGGUUUUGUAAGCCAGAUGUGAAAUCCCCGGGCUCAACCUGGGAAUGGCAUUUGGGACUGCAAGGCUGGAGUGCGGCAGAGGAGACUGGAAUUCCUGGUGUAGCGGUGAAAUGCGUAGAGAUCAGGAAGAACACCGGUGGCGAAAGCGCUCUGCUAGGCCGCAACUGACACUGAGGGACGAAAGCUAGGGGAGCGAAUGGG
rnacentral:rRNA from 1 species